AGCUCGUAGUUGAACCUUGGGCCUGGCUGGCCGGUCCGCCUCACCGCGUGUACUGGUCCGGCCGGGCCUUUCCCUCUGUGGAACCUCAUGCCCUUCACUGGGUGUGGCGGGGAAACAGGACUUUUACUUUGAAAAAAUUAGAGUGCUCCAGGCAGGCCUAUGCUCGAAUACAUUAGCAUGGAAUAAUAAAAUAGGACGUGUGGUUCUAUUUUGUUGGUUUCUAGGACCGCCGUAAUGAUUAAUAGGGACAGUCGGGGGCAUCAGUAUUCAAUUGUCAGAGGUGAAAUUCUUGGAUUUAUUGAAGACUAACUACUGCGAAAGCAUUUGCCAAGGAUGUUUUCAUUAAUCAGGAACGAAAGUUAGGGGAUCGAAGACGAUCAGAUACCGUCGUAGUCUUAACCAUAAACUAUGCCGACUAGGGAUCGGACGAUGUUAUUUUUUGACGCGUUCGG
rnacentral:rRNA from 1 species